AUUGAACGCUGGCGGCAGGCCUAACACAUGCAAGUCGAGCGGACGAAGGGAGCUUGCUCCUGGAUUCAGCGGCGGACGGGUGAGUAAUGCCUAGGAAUCUGCCUGGUAGUGGGGGAUAACGUCCGGAAACGGGCGCUAAUACCGCAUACGUCCUGAUGGAGAAAGGGGGGGAUCUUCGGAGCUCACGCGAUCAGAUGAGCCUAGGUCGGAUUAGCUAGUUGGUGGGGUAAAGGCCUACCAAGGCGACGAUCCGUAACUGGUCUGAGAGGAUGAUCAGUCACACUGGAACUGAGACACGGUCCAGACUCCUACGGGAGGCAGCAGUGGGGAAUAUUGGACAAUGGGCGAAAGCCUGAUCCAGCCAUGCCGCGUGUGUGAAGAAGGUCUUCGGAUUGUAAAGCACUUUAAGUUGGGAGGAAGGGCAGUAAGUUAAUACCUUGCUGUUUUGACGUUACCAACAGAAUAAGCACCGGCUAACUUCGUG
rnacentral:rRNA from 1 species